UUAUCAUCCUGACUGAAAUACCCUCCCAACCCAACCAAGCUGGAGAACGGACUUCUGCAGCUGCAAAUGUUUCAAGCCUCCCUCCUCCGUCCCAAAGGCUAUCUCAGAUAAGGCGGCGAAAAAAAACGCAAGCGUGAUGACAUGUUCCCUGAGCUCAUGCAGUCGUCCGGCACUGACAGAGCUCAGCAGAACGUGUGGAGGGA